rnacentral:rRNA from 1 species
AUGGGCGCGUACAAGUUCGUGUCGGAGCUAUGGAGGAGGAAGCAGUCGGACGUGAUGAGGUUCGUGCAGCGCGUGCGUUGCUGGGAGUACAGGCAGCAGCCGGCCAUCGUGCGCAUCACCAGGCCCACCCGCCCCGACAGGGCUCGCCGUCUCGGCUUCAAGGCCAAGCAGGGGUAUGUGGUCUACCGUAUCCGUGUCAGGCGUGGUGGCAGGAAGAGGCCAGUGCCCAAGGGUAUUGUCUAUGGUAAGCCCAAGCACCAGGGUAUUACCCAGCUCAAGUUCCAGAGGAACAAGAGGUCUGUUGCUGAAGAAAGAGCUGGGCGCAGGCUGGGUGGUCUUCGUGUGCUCAACUCCUACUGGGUGAAUGAGGACUCUACCUACAAGUACUUUGAGGUCAUCCUUGUUGAUGUUGCUCACAGUGCUGUCCGCAACGACCCAAGGAUCAACUGGCUCUGCAAGCCCGUGCACAAGCACCGUGAGCUUCGCGGACUCACGUCGGCGGGAAAGAAAUUCCGUGGUCUGCGUGGCAAGGGCCACCGCCACCACAAGAACAGGCCCUCAAGGAGAGCCACCUGGAAGCGCAACCAGACCGUCUCCCUCCGCCGCUACCGUUAA